UACGGAGGGUGCAAGCGUUAUCCGGAAUUACUGGGCGUAAAGCGCACGUAGGCGGUCUGACAAGUCGGAUGUGAAAUCCCCAGGCUCAACCUGGGAACUGCAUUUGAAACUAUCAGACUAGAGUGUUGUAGAGGUAGGUGGAAUUCCAGGUGUAGCGGUGAAAUGCGUAGAGAUUGGGAAGAAUACCGGUGGCGAAGGCGGCCUCCUGGACAAGGACUGACGCUGAGGUGCGAAAGCGUGGGGAGCAAACAGG
rnacentral:rRNA from 1 species